UACGUAGGGGGCUAGCGUUGUCCGGAUUUAUUGGGCGUAAAGAGCGUGUAGGCGGCCAUGUAGGUCCGGUGUGAAAACUCGAGGCUUAACCUCGAGAUGUCAUCGGAAACCAUUUGGCUAGAGUCCGGAAGAGGGGAGUGGAAUUCCUGGUGUAGCGGUGAAAUGCGCAGAUAUCAGGAAGAACACCAAUGGCGAAAAGCAGCUCUCUGGGACGGUACUGACGCUGAGACGCGAAAGCGUGGGGAGCGAACAGG
rnacentral:rRNA from 1 species